rnacentral:lncRNA from 1 species
GAAAUUCUAACCCAAACUACCACACAGAGUGACCUUAUUUGGAAAUAGAGUCUUUACGAAGACAAUUAAGAUGUGGUCAUUACAGUGGGCUCUAAUACGAUUUGACUGGUGUCCUUGUAAGAAGGGGAAAUUUGAACAUAGACACAUACAUAGAUAGGGAAGGCAAUGCGAAGACACACAGAAAGAUGACCAUCUUACAAGCCAACAAGAGAGGUCUUAAGCAGAUCCUCUCACAUCCUCAGAAGGCACCAACCCUGCCAACAUUUCACUCUCUGACUUCCAGCCUCCAGAAGUGUGAGACAUAAUUUUCCGUUUAAGGCACCUGAUUAAUAAUAAUUUGUUGCAGCAGCCACGGCAAACGGAAACAUUUGGGUUUCUAAAGACGGAAGCAGCUGGGCGCGGAGACUCAGGACUGUAAUCCCAGCACUUUGGGAGGCCGAGGCAGGCGAAUCAUGAGGUCAGGAGAUCCAGGACCAUCCUGGAUAACACAGUGAAACCCCAUCUCUACUAAAAAUACAAAAAAUUAGCUGGGCAUGGUGGCGGGCACCUGUAGUCUCAGUUACUCUGGAGGCUGACGCAGGAGAAUCACUUAAACCCGGGAGGCGGAGGUUGCAGUGAGCUGAGAUCACACCACUGCACUCCAGCUAGCAUGACAGAGCGAGACUCCGUCUCAAAAAGAAAUAAUAAUAAAAUAAAGACGGAUGCUCUGAAAAGGGAAAGGAGAAAAGGGAGGCAUUUGUGGAGUAGGUGCUCAUCACUUUCUCAAGGAUAUUUACAAAUGUAAUCAUAAAUACCGCACAGAAUCCUCGUAAAAGUGACUUAACUUCCUGACAGAGCAUGAGCACCAUCAUCUCUGACAAACACUCCCUUUCUAGCCUCAUGCAUUUCAAGGAAAUCACUUCUAACUACAAGCAGCCAGAAAAGAGCAGACAGUAAAACACAGAGAUCAGGAUAGAAUUGCUGUUUGACAUCUCUCCCAACUUCCUUAUGCUCUCUGGAGCAGAACACUUCACAGCAGUUAUCAAUCCCAGGGGGAGGAUCCAAACACUUCUUCCUAUUGCAUCUUGGAACUGGAGUCACUGAGAAAAACGCAACAUGGUCAAGCACUGGGUAGAACUACACACUUUACUUACAGAGAGAAGAAACAGAACAAGAUAAGCUUAAUAGAGUGCUGUGAUCCCUUAUGGCUAGCACGUCACCCAGGCAGGCAGCUGAGAAUGGGCAAUCGGCCUACACGCACCCCUGUCAGGCUGAAGCAGAAGAACCCAACCCCUCGUCCAUGGAGUCUGAAAUAGUAAAAACUGGGUAUGUUCCUGAGGACCAUUGACUUACGAGCUUAAACAGAACAAAGGAGUGCACCCUGAGCUUAUAAGAAAAGGUACUUGCAUAUAAGACAAUAGGCCCUGCAGAGGCUAUCUGGGCUUUUGAUGUUUUGCAAUAAAAAAUUUCUAGGAUCAAGGCCCAUUUUUAUGCAGUCAACAGGGGGUGGAAGGACCCCACAAACUACCUUUCCCAACAGCCUGUCUUCCUUGUUGAGAAAAUAAUCUCAAGGUAUUUACCAGCAGUAAGUUGUUUGAUCCUCUAGAAUGUCUAAUGUCAUCUUGAUGUUGGAUUAUUGUGUUACCAAGCUAACACAAGUGAUGCCAAGAAUAGCCUCAGAAAUGCAGCAGUAAGAUGGGGAUUUAUGACUGACCCACCCCCUUGCUGGCGGGUGAGAGGAUGCCAUCUCUGUUGGAAGGUGAGGCUCGAAUCAUUCUUGGCAUAAAGUCCCAGGUCAGUCAUCUGCCAGUUGGUGUUAGCCAGUGUCAAAGGACAGGACUACAAUACAUUUAGUUAAUGAUAUAACUGGCUUCCUUUCAUGAUUCAUGAAUUGGGGUAGCAUUCUAUUCUGUAGAAUAAGAGCUUCCCUGAGCUGAGCAGAAAAGAAUGGCUUCAUAGGCAGAAAAAGACUGAAGAAAGAAAUAAUGAAUGGAAAGUGAAUUGCUUGUUCCAGGGUUACUUUCCUUACAGAAUUAAAAUGAGGGGACUUCCUUAUUAUGCUAAAUUGGAUUGACUGGAAUCUUGCUUGUUUUUCUUUUUGAAAUUUUGCCCAUUUCAAAGUUCAGUUUGAUUAAGUGGCACUUAUCAGGAGUGACUCCAUUCUGGUUUGGUCUGGUCUACUGAGGCCUAGUGCAGGAAGGCAGUACAAGACAAUGACCUCCCGUAAAAUUUGGUUAACAUCAUGCUUUAUUAUCAGUCACAUGAAAACUGCCUGAAUUGUCACAGAAUGGAGUGGCAAAGUUGGAGCCUACAUGUGGAUCCGAGAGCUUAGACGCUUAAUUAUAAUAGCUGAUCUAGCUACUCCUGUCUCUGAAAGACCAACUUGUCAACCUUUAAUAUGAAUAUCCCUUAAAGGAACCUAAAGGACACUUGGUGGUAAAUUGACUAUAUUGAGCUUCUCCCUUCCACGAAGGUCGUGGAUACCCAUCCUGGUUAUAAGUCUGCUUUGCCACCCUUGAGUCUGAGCCAAAAUCCUUCACUGGAGCUUAUGGUAUGCCUGAUAACACACAGCGUAGCUUCUGAUCAGGAAACCCUCUUGACAGUGAAGGAUGUGAGGGGCAAAGCCCAAACCCAUGGGCUUCAAUCAUUGUAUCACACACAGAACCAUCCAUAAGCAGCUGGUAUCACAGGGUGUUGGAAGAGCUUCUAAAUGCACCCUCCUCAAGUCUCAGGUGUAAGACAAUAAUCAAAAAGGAUGUGGUAUUUCAUAGGAAGAAAAAAGUUGUUCAUCAUUAGAAAGAACAGAAGGUCUUGAAACCAAGGAGGAGAAAAACGAGUAACUCCACUUACUACACUUCCUAUUGACUUAAUGAAGGAUUUGCUUCCCAUCUCUGCAAAUCUGGGUUCAUCAGCUUGAAGGUCCUGUUCCUCAAAGCUGGUGUAUUUUGGUGACUAGAAGCAGCAAGUGUCCCAAUGGACUACCAUUUAUGACUACCAGGGAAGUUCGGACUCCUUGUGCCCAAAGUUUACCAGGAAGAAAGGCCUGCAGAUACAAUAGAAAAGCCUUUACAAAAAUCUGCUGGAGAAGAAGAUCCGGGUGAAACAGCAGGAAAACUGUCGUAAAAAUGCAUAUCUCAGAUCUCCUACUAGUAGGGUCAUAAGCAACCCAUGACUCCAGCUGCUGAGGUCUAAAUCUGUCACUACUUUUGCUCGGAGACUAUUUCCUGUGGAGGGAGUAUUCUUAACCAAUUACUGCAUUUGGCUGUGAUAUAAAAGUUGGCUCAGUCCUGCUGGAUGGAGGCUGAGGCAAAUGUCACAGAUGAUGGAGACAUGACCAGGGUGAUGGGAAUGGCGUUGAAGAGAAGUUGCCUGGCUUGAUAUGUAGUUGAAAAGUAGAACUUACAGGACUUGCUAAUAGUCUACAGAACCAGCCAUCAUGACAAAGUGACUUUCAGCAUUGAACUACACCUCACAAUACCUGCAUUCUCUUUUUUACUACAACUUGCUGCAGAUUUCUUUUUUUUUUUUUUUUUUUUUUUUUUUUCUGGUAGCAGAAAUCCCCAUCUGAUGCCAAUUCCUCAUCAUCAUAAGGGAAUGUAAUCAAGGAUUCUUUCCUAAUAAUGUGAAUAGAUGUGCAGUGACUGACAGAGGUGGUACAGCGGGUUUAUUCUUCUUAUGGCAGUGAUCUUCUGACUGUAACCCAAGGGUGAAAGCUCAUGCACUCUUAGCAACAAGUAAAUUGUACGAACAUGCCCCAGAUAUUUCUUCAUUUAUUUGUAAAUUAUAUACAGUUUAGUCUAUUCUGAAAAUAUACAGUUUUUUAAAAUUUGUAAAACAAAUAUGUUUUUCUUUACUGUGUAAAAUUAAAUGUCACUGAGAGUAAAAA